GACGAACGCUGGCGGCGUGCUUAACACAUGCAAGUCGAACGGAAAGGCCCUGCUUGCAGGGUACUCGAGUGGCGAACGGGUGAGUAACACGUGGGUGAUCUGCCCUGCACUUCGGGAUAAGCCUGGGAAACUGGGUCUAAUACCGGAUAGGAGCCAUUUUUAGUGUGAUGGUUGGAAAGUUUUUUCGGUGUAGGAUGAGCUCGCGGCCUAUCAGCUUGUUGGUGGGGUAAUGGCCUACCAAGGCGGCGACGGGUAGCCGGCCUGAGAGGGUGGACGGCCACAUUGGGACUUAGAUACGGCCCAGACUCCUACGGGAGGCAGCAGUGGGGAAUAUUGCACAAUGGGCGCAAGCCUGAUGCAGCGACUCCUCGUAGGGGAAUACGGCCUUCGGGUUGUAAACUCCUUUCGCUAGGAACUAAGCUUUUUGUGACGGUACCUAGAUAAGAAGCACCGGCUAACUACGUG
rnacentral:rRNA from 1 species